rnacentral:pre_miRNA from 1 species
UCUUAAGGAUGAGCAAAUAAAGUGGUUUCCUGAGAUGGAAACUGCUCCUGGUAAAGAUGCUGUAGAA